rnacentral:rRNA from 1 species
GUCCCCCACACUGGAACUGAGACACGGUCCAGACUCCUACGGGAGGCAGCAGUGAGGAAUAUUGGUCAAUGGGCGCAAGCCUGAACCAGCCAAGUCGCGUGAGGGAAGACGGCCCUACGGGUUGUAAACCUCUUUUGCCGGGGAGCAAGCCUGAGCACGUGUGCCCAGGCGGAAAAAAACAGGAGAAAAAGCAUCGGCUAACUCCGUGCCAGCAGCCGCGGUAAUACGGAGGAUGCGAGCGUUAUCCGGAUUUAUUGGGUUUAAAGGGUGCGCAGGCGGGCUGUUAAGCCGGCGGUAAAAAUUCAGGGCUCAACCCUGUCGAGCCGUCGGAACUGGCAGUCCUGAGUGGGCGAGAAGUAUGCGGAAUGCGUGGUGUAGCGGUGAAAUGCAUAGAUAUCACGCAGAACGCCGAUUGCGAAGGCAGCAUACCGGCGCCCAACUGACGCUGAGGCACGAAAGCGUGGGGAUCGAACAGGAUUAGAUACCCUGGUAGUCCACGCAGUAAACGAUGAGCGCUAACUGUCCGGAGCGAGCGAGCUCUGGGUGGUACAGUGAAAACGUUAAGCGCUCCACCUGGGGAGUACGCCGGCAACGGUGAAACUCAAAGGAAUUGACGGGGGCCCGCACAAGCGGAGGAACAUGUGGUUUAAUUCGAUGAUACGCGAGGAACCUUACCCGGGCUCAAACGUAAGCGGAAUAACGGUGAAAGCCGUUAGCUAUUUAUAGCCGCUUACGAGGUGCUGCAUGGUUGUCGUCAGCUCGUGCCGUGAGGUGUCGGCUUAAGUGCCAUAACGAGCGCAACCCCCAUCGCCAGUUGCUAACAAGUAACGUUGAGGACUCUGGCGAGACUGCCGGCGCAAGCUGCGAGGAAGGCGGGGAUGACGUCAAAUCAGCACGGCCCUUACGUCCGGGGCGACACACGUGUUACAAUGGCAGGUACAGAGAGAAGCCAUCCCGCGAGGGAGAGCGGAACUUUAAAGCCUGUCUCAGUUCGGAUUGGAGUCUGCAACCCGACUCCAUGAAGCUGGAUUCGCUAGUAAUCGCGCAU